AGCCUGCCCACUGAUUUGUUUUAAAGGGCCGCGGUAUAUUGACCGUGCGAAGGUAGCAUAAUCAUUAGUCUUUUAAUUGAAGGCUUGUAUGAAUGGUUGGACAAAAAGUAAGCUGUCUCAGUUAUAAUAAUUGAAUUUAACUUUUAAGUGAAAAGGCUUGAAUGGAUUAAGGGGACGAUAAGACCCUAUAAAGCUUGACAAUAAGUUAAUUAUAUUAUAAAUUGUUAGUAUAACUUGAUUUUAAUUGACGUUUGUUACGUUGGGGCGACGAGAAUAUAAUGAGUAACUGUUCUUAAAUGUUUAUUGACAAAUAUAAUUGGUAUUUGAUUGAUCCUUUAUUAAAGAUUAAAAGAUUAAGUUACUUUAGGGAUAACAGCGUAAUCUUCUUUGAGAGUUCAUAUCGACAAGAAGGUUUGCGACCUCGAUGUUGAAUUAAGGUAUCCUUAUGAUGCAGCAGUUAUAAAGG
rnacentral:rRNA from 1 species